rnacentral:rRNA from 1 species
GGUGAGAUCAAGUGGCGAACGGGUGAAUAACACGUGAAGCUACGACCUGAAACUCUGGGAUAAGCGCUGGAAACGGCGUCUAAUACUGGAUACGAGCCGUGAAGGCAUCUUCAACCGGUUGGACAAGAUUUUCCGGUCAGGGAUGAGCUCGCGGGCCUAUCAGCUUGUUGGUGAGGUAAUGGCUCACCAAGGCGUCGACGGGUAGCCGGCCUGAGAGGGUGACCGGCCACACUGGGACUGAGACACGGCCCAGACUCCUACGGGAGGCAGCAGUGGGGAAUAUUGCACAAUGGGCGCAAGCCUGAUGCAGCAACGCCGCGUGAGGGAUGAUGGCCUUCGGGUUGUAAACCUCUUUUAGCAGGGAAGAAGCGAAAGUGACGGUACCUGCAGAAAAAGCGCCGGCUAACUACGUGCCAGCAGCCGCGGUAAUACGUAGGGCGCAAGCGUUAUCCGGAAUUAUUGGGCGUAAAGAGCUCGUAGGCGGUUUGCCGCCGUACUGCUGUGAAAUCCCCGAGGUCAACCUCCGGGGUCUGGCCAGUGGGGUAACGGGGCAGAACUAAGUGCCGGCACGGGGGAGCAUCGGGAAUUCCCUGGGUNGUA